GACGAACGCUGGCGGCGCGCCUAACACAUGCAAGUCGAACGAGCGAGAGAGAGCUUGCUUUCUCGAGCGAGUGGCGAACGGGUGAGUAACGCGUGAGGAACCUGCCUCAAAGAGGGGGACGACAGUUGGAAACGACUGCUAAUAUCGCAUAAGCCCACGACCCGGCAUCGGGUUGAGGGAAAAGGAGCAAUCCGCUUUGAGAUGGCCUCGCGUCCGAUUAGCUAGUUGGUGGGGUAACGGCCCACCAAGGCAACGAUCGGUAGCUGUACUGAGAGGUAGAACAGCCACAAUGGGACUGAGACACGGCCCAU
rnacentral:rRNA from 1 species